CUCAGGCCCGAGUGGGAAAAUAGCUGUGAAAUUGGAGGAGCAGUGUCCCAUGUAGGGAAUGCCUCUAAUGGCUUUUUUCUUCCUCUCCUCACCUCCCCUGUGUCUGCCUCUCUUCUGCACCGACCCCGUGGUCCGCCCUUCUGUCUAAGGUCUCUGUGUGUAUGUGUGUGUCACUGCUGACGUUGUGGAUACCCAGGAGGAAACAGCUUCCACAGAGGAAGGGAUGGGCAAGAGCUUCCCAAGAACUGACGGUUUCUGUUGUCCACCGCAAAGCCUUUGGGAAGGGUUCGAGUCUUGCCCUAGAAGUUCAGAAUACUUCCUUCCGCUUGGACUCUUGCCUGCUGUGUGCCAUGGGCCAGUGUCUACCUCGCUACAGGCCUCAGUUUCCCAAUUCUCCAGUGAGGGAUUGAGUUCAGAAGUGCAUAAGCAUGAGCUCAGCAAAGGUGGCCCCUGCUCCCUCCACCCUGGGCGUGACCUGGACAGGGGGAGACUCAAGUGUUCCCCUGUCCUGGGCUCCUCCUCAGGCAAGAACUUGCCAAAUGCCCGUCAAGGCUGCAGACUUCUCAGUCUCAGCCCCCUGCCCUCUCCAUGUGUGUCUGCAGUUACAGCAACACCGCCUUUUCAGAGCCCCCUGAGGAAGCCCGGGAGCAGCCAGGGCCCCAUCCUUGAGGAUGCGGAGCUGGGUUCACUCCUGGCUGCACCUUGAACUAGACUGUGAUUCUGGGCAGAGCAUUGAGCCUCUGAGGUCUUCUCCUUCUCCCUCAAUGGCCUCCUGUGAUCCCCUCCCCUCAGUCUACACAUCCUGCUGGAAUCCACUCCCCUUGACUGUGGUCUGAAGUUUGUCAUUGCCUGUUACUCUGUGGAAGAGGGCACAGUGAUGCGCAGGCAGUUCUGAGACUGGGUCCCAAACAGUCCGGGGCUCCCCUCCUUCUGGCUCUGACCUGUGUUCUCUCUCUCCCUCAUAUCCCUCACUCUGGGGAACAAGACUGUGUGUUCUAGGUUGCACCCUAGAGAGGCCGACGUGGCCUGGCCUUGAAGGAGACUCACCGACAGAGGGGCCUGCAGGCCUUCAGUCGCAUGGCGCCCUCCAGGACCCCAGAGUGCGCUCAGAGCAGGAGGGAUGCAGAUCCUGCCUCAGUUCCGAGCACAGCCCGACCCCCUGAGAGCCUCUGGCAGAAGCUCCCAGCUGAGCGCUGCUGGAUUCCUGGUCCAGUGCAACCAUGACAUAAUCAAGAAUGUUGCAGAGGAAUAUUCUGGGACUUCUAAGACUGGUUCAUAAGAACACUUGCAGCUUCCAUCUGGGCCUCCUGGAACACUUGCCCUUGAAACUGAGCCAUGAUGCUGUGAGGAAGCCCAACAAGCCCCAGGGAGUGGGCUAGCCAACAGCCCCAGAUGAACUCCCAGCUGACAGCUCCCACCAGCUCGACAGUCACACAGGGAAAUUGAGGUACAGGAAGCUGAAGUAACUUGCCUGGAUCACUUAUCUUGGAAGAGGCUGAAUCAAUUCAAAUCUAGACAUUCUGGGACCUGGACCUGACUUCUUAACUAGUUGUAGGUGCCAGGCAGUCUCUGAGGAGUUGUUGAUAGAUGAAGAAAGAGUCCUGUUCACAACCAAGAAAGCAAGGAACAGACUGACCACAGGUGGGAGACACACCUACAAGAUAUUCAUCAUCACUGACAGAAGAAAAGAACAAUGAAAGACCCUGGAAUCCGUCAUGCCUGAAGGCUGACAUUUCUAAACCCUCUCCUUACUGUCCACUUUCCCUAUAUAAUUGCUUCAAGAUUCUGUAAUCCUUGAAGAUGGUUUUUUUUGAGACAUUAGUCUACCAUCUUCCUGAUUAUGCUGGCUCAUAAAAUUAAAACUUCCUUUCUCCAUUCCUAACUUGUUGUAAUUAAUUGACUCAG
ensembl:lncRNA